UUCCGGUUGAUCCCGCCGGACCCCACUGCUAUCGGGAUAGGACUAAGACAUGCUAGUCGCGUGCUUCAGCCAAAACGAGGCACGGCACACAGCUCAGUAACACGUGGCUAAUCUGCCCUUGGGAUAGGAAUACCCCCGGGAAACUGGGGCUAAUUCCCAAUAGGUGAAGAACUCUGGAAUGAGUCUCCACCAGAAAAGAGCUUACGUUAUGCUCGUAAGUUUCGCCCAAGGAUGAGGCCGCGACCGAUCAGGUUGUUGGCGAGGUAAUGGCUCGCCAAGCCUUUUACCGGUGCGGGCCGUGGGAGCGGGAGCCCGGAGAUGGGUACUGAGACAAGGACCCAGGCCCUACGGGGCGCAGCAGUCGCGAAAACUUUGCAAUAAGCGCAAGCUUGACAGGGCUAUCCCGAGUGCCAUCCGCUGAGGAAGGCUUUUACCCAGUCUAGAACGCUGGGGGAAUAAGGAGAGGGCAAGUCUGGUGUCAGCCGCCGCGGUAAUACCAGCUCUCCGAGUGGUGUGGAUGUUUAUUGGGCCUAAAGCAUCCGUAGCUGGCUAAGUUAGUCCCCUGUUAAAUCCACCGAAUUAAUCGUUGGAUCGCGGGGGAUACUGCUUGGCUAGGGGACGAGAGAGGCAGACGGUAUUUUCGGGGUAGGGGUGAAAUCCUAUAAUCCCGGGAAGACCACCAGUGGCGAAGGCUGUCUGCUAGAACGCGCCCGACGGUGAGGGAUGAAAGCUGGGGGAGCGAACCGGAUUAGAUACCCGGGUAGUCCCAGCUGUAAACGAUGCAGACUAGGUGUUUGGACGGCCACGUGCCGUUCUAGUGCCGCAGGGAAGCUGUUAAGUCUGCCGCCUGGGGAGUACGAUCGCAAGAUUGAACUUAAAGGAAUUGGCGGGGGAGCACCACAA
rnacentral:rRNA from 1 species